rnacentral:lncRNA from 13 species
AGGGCUCUUCAAGGUCUCAGAUCCUGACUCCAGUUUGGCUGCUCUUUCCCCUGUCCCCUUGUGAAGAUGCCCAAUGACCCAUCAGAAAGUCAAAGAAACAUUAACCAUAAAACGUCAAAUUAUCCUCCUGCUCCAGAGAACAGGCCUUGCCUCACUGAGCAGGAGGUAUUGAUGAGCCACAGAAGGCCAAAAGCAGAUCUCACCUCUUCAAUUCUUUAAUUCCUCUUUGAGGGACAUAAAUUUGGGGACAACCCCCUCCCCGACCAAUAACGCCACAAACAUAAAUCAUUUUUCCUCCCUUUUGAAUUCCUCUUCAAGUCACUGCCCAGCAGCAGCUUAGAGCUCCUAGAUCUUAUGCAUUACAAAAGCUCAUCUUUGAAAAUCUCCCUAAAUUCACCCACGUGCCUUUUUGCAGGGAGGGAGGAUGACGGGAACCUCCUUAACUCAAGUUUCUUGUCUUUUCUUACAGCGUACAUAUUGUAAAAAUCAGAAUCAUGUAAGGAAUGAAAGGAAAGCCCCUUUCUUCCACCCUGACCCCAACAGUCCCACGGCUCAAAGGAACCCAGCAGCGUGCCUUGGACUCCUUUCCUUGUGCAUCAAGAAUGUGCUCCUUCCUGUUUCACGGGUGCAUAGUCAUCCACCACGUAAGUUCACCAUCACGAUGGGUUAACCAUCACGCCUCUGUCCGCCCUCCAUCACGCAUCUGACCGCCCUCCAUCACGCAUCUGACCGCCCUCCAUCACGCCUCUGUCCGCCCUCCAUCACGCAUCUGACCGCCCUCCAUCACGCCUCUGUCCGCCCUCCAUCAUGCCUCUGACCACCCUCCAUCACGCAUCUGACCGUCCUCCUGUUCAUAGCCAUUUGGAUUGUGACUAAAAUUUUGAUUUUUUUGUUUGUUUGUUUUUCUUUGAGAUGGAGUCUCACUCUAUCCACCAGGCUGGAGUUCGAUCUUGGCUCACUGCAACCUCUGGGCUCAAGUGAUUCUCUUGCCUCAGCCUCCCAAGUAGCUGGGAUUACAGGCACCUGCCACCAUGCCUGGCUAAUUUUUUGUAUUUUUUUGUAGAGACAGGGUUUCACCAUGUUGGCCAGGCUGGUCUCGAACUCCUGACCUCAGGUGAUCUGCCUGCCUUGGCCUCCUGAAGUGCUAGAAUUACAGGCAUGAGCUACCUUGCCAGGCCCUAAAAUUUUGAUAUUUCAAAAAAUAUUUCCAUGAAAAAAAGCUCCCAUAUCACUGAUCACUAGAGAAAUGUAAAUCAAAACCACAAUGAGAUACCAUCUCACACCAAUCAGAAUGACUAUUUAUUAAAACAUAAAAAAACACACACUCACAAAACACGCUGGCAAGGUUGUGAAGAAAAGAAAAUGCUUAUAUACCACUGGUGGGGUAUAAAUUAUUUAAGUCAUUGUGCAAAGCAGUGCGGCAAUUCCUCAAAGAGCUAAAAACAGUACUACCAUUCAACCCAGCAAUCCCAUCACUGGGCAUAUACCUAGAGGAAUAUCAAUCAUUCUACCAUAAAAACACAUGCGCACAUGUGUUCAUGGCCACACUAGUCACAACAACAGACAUGGAAUUAACCUAAAGGCCCCUCCAUGGUAGACUGGAUAAAGAAAAUGUGGUACAUGUACACGUGGACUACUAUGCAGCCAUAAAAAAGAACAAGAUCGUGUCUCUUGCGGGAACACGAUGGAGGUGGAAGCCGUUAUCCUCAGCAAACUAACACAGGAACAGAAAACCGAAUACCGCAUGUUCUCAUCUAUAACUGGGAGCUAAAUGAUGAGAACUCAUGAACACAAAGAAGAGAGCAGCAGACACUGGGGUCCAGUGGAGGGUGGAGGCGAGAGGAGGGAGAAGGAGCAGGAAAUGUAACUACUGGACAUUGGGCUUAGUACCUGGGUGAUGAAAAAUCUGUACAACGAACCCAUGACACGAGUUCACCUGUGUAACAAAUCUUCACAUGGACCCCCCCCCGAGCCUAAAAUAAAAGCUAAAAAAGUAUUUAAAAUGCUCA